GAUUUCACGCCUAAAACGUAUAAAAUCGGACAAAUCAGAAGACAAAAUUGAAACACGUACUGCCUGCCUCUUGUGACCUCACAGAGAAGGGAGCUGAAAUCUACAUUGUUACCAGUACAAGAUGAACGUCAAGGUGUUGACUCUUUGUGUGGUGGUGAGUCUGUUUGUCGCCAAUGCUGUUGUCAGCGCUGUCACCCAGAAGAAAGCGGUAGGAAAAGGGGGCGAGGAGAUCCUAAGGGAAGAGGAGAUACGGAAGACUGUACGAGAGGCUUUAAAUGAGCUGAAACGCGACCGUCGCUUGAGCGUGGAGAGACGCUGGGGGUGGAAACACGUCGCUGCUGGUGCUGCUGGUGCUGCCAUACUUGGCAAACGAGACGAUGAGUAAUCCAGGACAUAUUUCGUACCAUGGGUUUCUGCAGAGGUAGUUUGACUUUGUCAUGUGACUUUGUCAUGUGACUUUGUCAUGUGACUUUGUCAUGUGACUUUCCUAAGGCCUGUAGUCAGAUGAAAUAGCCAAAUAAAGCUUCGUAUGGACAAGAACAA